rfam:Schistosoma haematobium scaffold1391_7, whole genome shotgun sequence.
AUCCAGCUGACGAAUCCUAAAUAGGACGAAACGCGCAUCCUGGAU